rnacentral:rRNA from 1 species
GAUGAACGCUGGCGGCGUGCCUAAUACAUGCAAGUCGAGCGAACGGACGAGAAGCUUGCUUCUCUGAUGUUAGCGGCGGACGGGUGAGUAACACGUGGAUAACCUACCUAUAAGACUGGGAUAACUUCGGGAAACCGGAGCUAAUACCGGAUAAUAUUUUGAACCGCAUGGUUCAAAAGUGAAAGACGGUCUUGCUGUCACUUAUAGAUGGAUCCGCGCUGCAUUAGCUAGUUGGUAAGGUAACGGCUUACCAAGGCAACGAUGCAUAGCCGACCUGAGAGGGUGAUCGGCCACACUGGAACUGAGACACGGGCCAGACUCCUACGGGAGGCAGCAGUAGGGAAUCUUCCGCAAUGGGCGAAAGCCUGACGGAGCAACGCCGCGUGAGUGAUGAAGGUCUUCGGAUCGUAAAACUCUGUUAUUAGGGAAGAACAUAUGUGUAAGUAACUGUGCACAUCUUGACGGUACCUAAUCAGAAAGCCACGGCUAACUACGUGCCAGCAGCCGCGGUAAUACGUAGGUGGCAAGCGUUAUCCGGAAUUAUUGGGCGUAAAGCGCGCGUAGGCGGUUUUUUAAGUCUGAUGUGAAAGCCCACGGCUCAACCGUGGAGGGUCAUUGGAAACUGGAAAACUUGAGUGCAGAAGAGGAAAGUGGAAUUCCAUGUGUAGCGGUGAAAUGCGCAGAGAUAUGGAGGAACACCAGUGGCGAAGGCGACUUUCUGGUCUGUAACUGACGCUGAUGUGCGAAAGCGUGGGGAUCAAACAGGAUUAGAUACCCUGGUAGUCCACGCCGUAAACGAUGAGUGCUAAGUGUUAGGGGGUUUCCGCCCCUUAGUGCUGCAGCUAACGCAUUAAGCACUCCGCCUGGGGAGUACGACCGCAAGGUUGAAACUCAAAGGAAUUGACGGGGACCCGCACAAGCGGUGGAGCAUGUGGUUUAAUUCGAAGCAACGCGAAGAACCUUACCAAAUCUUGACAUCCUUUGACAACUCUAGAGAUAGAGCCUUCCCCUUCGGGGGACAAAGUGACAGGUGGUGCAUGGUUGUCGUCAGCUCGUGUCGUGAGAUGUUGGGUUAAGUCCCGCAACGAGCGCAACCCUUAAGCUUAGUUGCCAUCAUUAAGUUGGGCACUCUAAGUUGACUGCCGGUGACAAACCGGAGGAAGGUGGGGAUGACGUCAAAUCAUCAUGCCCCUUAUGAUUUGGGCUACACACGUGCUACAAUGGACAAUACAAAGGGCAGCGAAACCGCGAGGUCAAGCAAAUCCCAUAAAGUUGUUCUCAGUUCGGAUUGUAGUCUGCAACUCGACUACAUGAAGCUGGAAUCGCUAGUAAUCGUAGAUCAGCAUGCUACGGUGAAUACGUUCCCGGGUCU